UACGAAGGGGGCGAGCGUUGUUCGGAUUUACUGGGCGUAAAGGGCGCGCAGGCGGCUUAUUUUGUCAGGCGUGAAAGCCCCGGGCUUAACCUGGGAACUGCGUUUGAUACGGAUGGGCUAGAGUUCGGGAGAGGAGAGUGGAAUUCCCAGUGUAGAGGUGAAAUUCGUAGAUAUUGGGAAGAACACCGGUGGCGAAGGCGGGUCUCUGGGCCAUUACUGACGCUGAGGAGCGAAAGCGUGGGGAGCGAACAGG
rnacentral:rRNA from 1 species